GAUAAGCUAAAUCAACUCAGCUGGAAU
rnacentral:snRNA from 1 species